rnacentral:rRNA from 1 species
UACGGGGGGGGCAAGCGUUGUCCGGAAUUACUGGGGGUAAAGGGUUCGUAGGCGGCCAAUUAAGUCGGAUGUGAAAUCCCCAGGCUUAACCUGGGAACUGCAUCCGAUACUGGAUGGCUUGAAUUCGGGAGAGGGAUGCAGAAUUCCAGGUGUAGCGGUGAAAUGCGUAGAUAUCUGGAGGAAUACCGGUGGCGAAGGCGGCAUCCUGGACCGAGAUUGACGCUGAUGAGCGAAAGCGAGGGGAGCAAACGGG